rnacentral:rRNA from 1 species
UUAAGCGACUAAGCGUACACGGUGGAUGCCCUGGCAGUCAGAGGCGAUGAAGGACGUGCUAAUCUGCGAUAAGCGUCGGUAAGGUGAUAUGAACCGUUAUAACCGGCGAUUUCCGAAUGGGGAAACCCAGUGUGUUUCGACACACUAUCAUUAACUGAAUCCAUAGGUUAAUGAGGCGAACCGGGGGAACUGAAACAUCUAAGUACCCCGAGGAAAAGAAAUCAACCGAGAUUCCCCCAGUAGCGGCGAGCGAACGGGGAGCAGCCCAGAGCCUGAAUCAGUGUGUGUGUUAGUGGAAGCGUCUGGAAAGGCGCGCGAUACAGGGUGACAGCCCCGUACACAAAAAUGCACAUGCUGUGAGCUCGAUGAGUAGGGCGGGACACGUGGUAUCCUGUCUGAAUAUGGGGGGACCAUCCUCCAAGGCUAAAUACUCCUGACUGACCGAUAGUGAACCAGUACCGUGAGGGAAAGGCGAAAAGAACCCCGGCGAGGGGAGUGAAAAAGAACCUGAAACCGUGUACGUACAAGCAGUGGGAGCACGCUUAGGCGUGUGACUGCGUACCUUUUGUAUAAUGGGUCAGCGACUUAUAUUCUGUAGCAAGGUUAACCGAAUAGGGGAGCCGAAGGGAAACCGAGUCUUAACUGGGCGUUAAGUUGCAGGGUAUAGACCCGAAACCCGGUGAUCUAGCCAUGGGCAGGUUGAAGGUUGGGUAACACUAACUGGAGGACCGAACCGACUAAUGUUGAAAAAUUAGCGGAUGACUUGUGGCUGGGGGUGAAAGGCCAAUCAAACCGGGAGAUAGCUGGUUCUCCCCGAAAGCUAUUUAGGUAGCGCCUCGUGAAUUCAUCUCCGGGGGUAGAGCACUGUUUCGGCAAGGGGGUCAUCCCGACUUACCAACCCGAUGCAAACUGCGAAUACCGGAGAAUGUUAUCACGGGAGACACACGGCGGGUGCUAACGUCCGUCGUGAAGAGGGAAACAACCCAGACCGCCAGCUAAGGUCCCAAAGUCAUGGUUAAGUGGGAAACGAUGUGGGAAGGCCCAGACAGCCAGGAUGUUGGCUUAGAAGCAGCCAUCAUUUAAAGAAAGCGUAAUAGCUCACUGGUCGAGUCGGCCUGCGCGGAAGAUGUAACGGGGCUAAACCAUGCACCGAAGCUGCGGCAGCGACGCUGAUGCGUUGUUGGGUAGGGGAGCGUUCUGUAAGCCUGUGAAGGUGUGCUGUGAGGCAUGCUGGAGGUAUCAGAAGUGCGAAUGCUGACAUAAGUAACGAUAAAGCGGGUGAAAAGCCCGCUCGCCGGAAGACCAAGGGUUCCUGUCCAACGUUAAUCGGGGCAGGGUGAGUCGACCCCUAAGGCGAGGCCGAAAGGCGUAGUCGAUGGGAAACAGGUUAAUAUUCCUGUACUUGGUGUUACUGCGAAGGGGGGACGGAGAAGGCUAUGUUGGCCGGGCGACGGUUGUCCCGGUUUAAGCGUGUAGGCUGGUUUUCCAGGCAAAUCCGGAAAAUCAAGGCUGAGGCGUGAUGACGAGGCACUACGGUGCUGAAGCAACAAAUGCCCUGCUUCCAGGAAAAGCCUCUAAGCAUCAGGUAACAUCAAAUCGUACCCCAAACCGACACAGGUGGUCAGGUAGAGAAUACCAAGGCGCUUGAGAGAACUCGGGUGAAGGAACUAGGCAAAAUGGUGCCGUAACUUCGGGAGAAGGCACGCUGAUAUGUAGGUGAAGUCCCUUGCGGAUGGAGCUGAAAUCAGUCGAAGAUACCAGCUGGCUGCAACUGUUUAUUAAAAACACAGCACUGUGCAAACACGAAAGUGGACGUAUACGGUGUGACGCCUGCCCGGUGCCGGAAGGUUAAUUGAUGGGGUCAGCGCAAGCGAAGCUCUUGAUCGAAGCCCCGGUAAACGGCGGCCGUAACUAUAACGGUCCUAAGGUAGCGAAAUUCCUUGUCGGGUAAGUUCCGACCUGCACGAAUGGCGUAAUGAUGGCCAGGCUGUCUCCACCCGAGACUCAGUGAAAUUGAACUCGCUGUGAAGAUGCAGUGUACCCGCGGCAAGACGGAAAGACCCCGUGAACCUUUACUAUAGCUUGACACUGAACAUUGAGCCUUGAUGUGUAGGAUAGGUGGGAGGCUUUGAAGUGUGGACGCCAGUCUGCAUGGAGCCGACCUUGAAAUACCACCCUUUAAUGUUUGAUGUUCUAACGUUGACCCGUAAUCCGGGUUGCGGACAGUGUCUGGUGGGUAGUUUGACUGGGGCGGUCUCCUCCUAAAGAGUAACGGAGGAGCACGAAGGUUGGCUAAUCCUGGUCGGACAUCAGGAGGUUAGUGCAAUGGCAUAAGCCAGCUUGACUGCGAGCGUGACGGCGCGAGCAGGUGCGAAAGCAGGUCAUAGUGAUCCGGUGGUUCUGAAUGGAAGGGCCAUCGCUCAACGGAUAAAAGGUACUCCGGGGAUAACAGGCUGAUACCGCCCAAGAGUUCAUAUCGACGGCGGUGUUUGGCACCUCGAUGUCGGCUCAUCACAUCCUGGGGCUGAAGUAGGUCCCAAGGGUAUGGCUGUUCGCCAUUUAAAGUGGUACGCGAGCUGGGUUUAGAACGUCGUGAGACAGUUCGGUCCCUAUCUGCCGUGGGCGCUGGAGAACUGAGGGGGGCUGCUCCUAGUACGAGAGGACCGGAGUGGACGCAUCACUGGUGUUCGGGUUGUCAUGCCAAUGGCACUGCCCGGUAGCUAAAUGCGGAAGAGAUAAGUGCUGAAAGCAUCUAAGCACGAAACUUGCCCCGAGAUGAGUUCUCCCUGACCCUUUAAGGGUCCUGAAGGAACGUUGAAGACGACGACGUUGAUAGGCCGGGUGUGUAAGCGCAGCGAUGCGUUGAGCUAACCGGUACUAAUGAACCGUGAGGCUUAACCUU